GCACGUGGAACCCGGCGUGAAUCUGGGAGGACCAUCUUCCAAGGCUAAGUACUCCUCGACGACCGAUAGUGAACAAGUACCGUGAGGGAAAGGUGAAAAGCACCCCGGCAAGGGGAGUGAAAUAGUACCUGAAACCGUGUGUCUACAAGCAGUUGAAGCACUAUGUAUUCGUACAGUGCGACAGCGUACCUUUUGCAUCAUGGGCCUGCGAGUUACGCUAUGUCGCAAGGUUAAGCCGUGAGGUGUAGCCGAAGGGAAACCGAGUCCAAAUAGGGCGAUUGAGUGGCAUGGCGUAGACCCGAACCCGAGCGAUCUAUCCAUGGGCAGGCUGAAGCGUGGGUAAAACACGUGGAGGCCGAACGUCACCACAGUUGAAAAAUGUAGGGUAGUAGUGACCUGUGGUAUCGGAGUUG
rnacentral:rRNA from 1 species